rnacentral:rRNA from 1 species
UACGUCUCGUGAAAGUCAUAACGACUCUCGGCAACGGAUAUCUCGGCUCUCGCAUCGAUGAAGAACGUAGCGAAAUGCGAUACUUGGUGUGAAUUGCAGAAUCCCGUGAACCAUCGAGUCUUUGAACGCAAGUUGCGCCCGAAGCCAUUAGGCCGAGGGCACGUCUGCCUGGGCGUCACGCAUCGCGUCGCCCCGCUCUC